UCCGGUUGAUCCUGCGGACCUACUGCUAUCGGGAUAGGACUAAGACAUGCAUGUCGUGCGUCUCUUAGCCAUGAUAGAGACGCGGCACACGGCUCAGUAACAUGUGGCUAACUACCCUUAGGACAAGGACAACCCCGGGAAACUGGGGCUAAUCCCUGAUAGGCGUGGACUUCUGGAAUGAAUCUACACUAAAAGGACGUUUGAAUCAUGCUUCAAGCGCCGCCUAAGGAUGGGGCCGCAGCCGAUCAGGUUGUUGGCGAGGCAACGGCUCACCAAGCCCAUAACCGGUACGGGCCGCGGGAGCGGUAGCCCGGAGAUGGACACUGAGACAAGGGUCCAGGCCCUACGGGGCGCAGCAGUCGCGAAAACUCUGCAAUACACGAAAGUGUGACAGGGCUAUCCCGAGUGCCGUCCGCUGAGGAUGGCUUUUCUCCAGUGUAAGGAGCUGGAGGAAUAAGGAGAGGGCAAGCCUGGUGUCAGCCGCCGCGGUAAUACCAGCUCUCCGAGUGGUAGGGACAUUUAUUGGGCUUAAAGCGUCCGUAGCCGGCUCAGCAAGUCCUCCGUUAAAUCCAGCGAUUCAAUCGUUGGACUGCGGGGGAUACUGUUGGGCUAGGGGACGAGAGAGGCCGACGGUAUUCUCGGAGUAGGGGUGAAAUCCUAUAAUCCCGGGAGGACCACCAGUGGCGAAGGCUGUCGGCUAGAACGAGCUCGACGGUGAGGGACGAAAGCUGGGGGAGCGAACCGGAUUAGAUACCCGGGUAGUCCCAGCUGUAAACGAUGCGGGCUAGGUGUUAGGGUGGCUACGAGCCACUCUAGUGCCGCAGCGAAGGCAUUAAGCCCGCCGCCUGGGGAGUACGGCCGCAAGGCUGAAACUUAAAGGAAUUGGCGGGAGAGCACCACAAGGCGUGAAGCGUGCGGUUUAAUUGGAGUCAACGCCGGAA
rnacentral:rRNA from 1 species